CAAUAGCAUAUAUUAGCGUUGUUGCAGUUGAAAAGCUCGUAGUUGAACUUUUGGUAGGAGCGGCCUGGCCUUGGGCGCAUGCCCUUGUUUGCCGUGUGUCGUAUCUGGCCAUCCCUUUCCGCUUCGGCGGGAAUCCUUUACUGUGAGUAAACUGGAGUGCUCAAAACAAGACGUUUGUUUGGUACAUUAAAGCAUGGAAUAAUAAGAUAGGACCUGGUUACUAUUUUGUUGGUUUGCAUAGCUAGGUAAUGAUUAACAGGGACAGUUGGGGGUAUUCGUAUUUAAUUGUCAGAGGUGAAAUUCUUGGAUUUAUGAAAGACGAACGACUGCGAAAGCAUUUACCAAGGAUGUUUUCAUUAA
rnacentral:rRNA from 1 species